AACGAACGCUGGCGGCAGGCUUAACACAUGCAAGUCGAGCGCCCCGCAAGGGGAGCGGCAGACGGGUGAGUAACGCGUGGGAAUCUACCCAUCUCUACGGAAUAACGCAUGGAAACGUGUGCUAAUACCGUAUACGUCCUUCGGGAGAAAGAUUUAUCGGAGAUGGAUGAGCCCGCGUUGGAUUAGCUAGUUGGUGGGGAAAAGGCCUACCAAGGCGUCGAUCCAUAGCUGGUCUGAGAGGAUGAUCAGCCACACUGGGACUGAGACACGGCCCAGACUCCUACGGGAGGCAGCAGUGGGGAAUAUUGGACAAUGGGCGCAAGCCUGAUCCAGCCAUGCCGCGUGAGUGAUGAAGGCCCUAGGGUUGUAAAGCUCUUUCACCGGUGAAGAUAAUGACGGUAACCGGAGAAGAAGCCCCGGCUAACUUCGUGCCAGCCGCCGCCGUAAGAC
rnacentral:rRNA from 1 species